UAUCUCUGUAGAGUCUGCAUAUCAAUAAGCGGAGGAAAAGAAACUAACAAGGAUUCCCUUAGUAACGGCGAGUGAAGCGGGAAGAGCUCAAAUUUGAAAUCUUCAAGGUUUUACCUUGACGAAUUGUAGUUUAAAGAAGUGUUUUCUGUUGGAGUUUUGGUAAAAGUUCUUUGGAAUAGGACAUCAUAGAGGGUGAGAAUCCCGUAUUUGACCAUUAUUUCCAGCUUUGUGAUACACUUUCAAAGAGUCGGAUUGUUUGGGAAUGCAGUCCAAAAUGGGUGGUAAAUUUCAUCUAAAGCUAAAUAUUGGCGAGAGACCGAUAGCGAACAAGUACCGUGAGGGAAAGAUGAAAAGAACUUUGAAAAGAGAGUUAAACAGUACGUGAAAUUGUCAAAAGGGAAGCGUUUGACACCAGUGUUGUUUUUCCGAAAAUCAAUUAAAAAAGGCCGGAUUUUGUGUUGUAUUGACUUUAUCAGCUUUCUGCACUUUUUUCUUGUCUUUUUUAAUGCACUUUUCGUUUAACAAGUCAACAUCAAUUUCUUUUGUUGUAAAAGGGUCAUUGGAAGGUGGCUUUCUUUUCGGAGAAAGUGUUUAUAGCCUUUGGCUUCUGCAAUCGGAGAGACUGAGGUCUGCAGCGUAGAUCCUUCGGGAUUAGAUUACAUUUGUGCUAAGUUAUAGCUCUUCAUAGACAACUUGUUGACUAUGAUCAGUCAUGUAGCUUACUCGCUUAUGUCAUUUUACCUACGCUUAGGAUGUUGAGUAGCGACAUACGCAC
rnacentral:rRNA from 1 species